UGUAACGGUCGCCUCUAAGGGGCGAUAUAGGGUUUUUAAUUGUAAGGUCGCAGUGAGGUCAAUCCACAAAAGACACCCGUGGUCUAAAGCUGCCAUGAAUAAGCCAAAACUCCCAGGGGCUUGGCUUUUGGAGGGAUCAAUGCUCUAAUCCACUGAAACUUAGAAGAGUGACCCUGGUUGGUCUUUUGGCACCAAGCGGGCGGAGAGAGCCGGACUCGCUGGCUGGCAGCCAAUUUGCUUCAUAGAUGAAGAGCGGAUGGGUGCCAAGGAGCUGGCUGCUGCUGUUGUCGGAGACGUGUUUCAUGUAGGCUCCAAAAUGCACCGUUUCUCUACGCCGCCGAGCAGCAAAAAGCCACUAUAAGAUUCAAUCCUCUCUACCGGCAGAACUGUCAGGUUCACCGCCGCACCUGCUCCAGUCAAGGGCACGCUGCAGCCAACGAAAGGCACAUCAUCCAACCAGCAAGGGGGAUUACCACCUGUCUGCUUCUGUCUGUCACCAAGCAGACAAUCUCCAGCAACUUCACUAGAUAUGUCCAUCAGGUGGCCCUCCCUCAAUCACAAACAAAUCCUCGGUGUGAUGAGUAUAAAGCACCAGGUGUACUGUGGCCUCCUCCCUCUCCGACCCAGCCAGGACUCCUAUUGUGUGGAUGUUGUGAAGCAGCCACCGCUCCCAUUAAUCAUGUCUGCUUGCAUUUUUUAUUUAUUUUUUUUGGUUCAUUUUUACAUCCGCAGUGGUGUGUGUUGCAAAGCUCAUAAAUGCUAAUUAGGGGCAUUAAUUUGUAUGCGCACAAACGCACACACACAGCUAUUAUUUAUAGUUCUCAGACUUUUUAACUUUUCCCUCUUUAUUUUGAGAAUUCAGAUACCAUUCGAUCAUUCCCUGGUGUGCAUCGCCUUGAGAUGCACAACAGGCAGAAUGUAUUGCUUUUCUGCUUUUUUUUAUAUCCAACAGAAAAACAUUUGAGAACAACAAUUUGUUGUUGUUCUGAAAUGUUUGCAGGUGAUCUCUCGGUCGAGAGGGGGCACGCCAUGUCAAGCCUUUAGAAGUACAGGUAUCAACCAGAAAUGGAAUGAAAGAAAUAACAAGAGAGAUAGAAUGCAGGACUUAAUAGCCAUCACAACACAAGCGCAGUGAGUGAUCCUUUUAGGAUCUUUUGAUACUUACUGAUACUUUAGUAAGUAUUAGGCUGUUUUUAUAUGGUAGUAGUAAUAGUAUGGAUGAUAAUCGUCGUUAUCCAUCAAAUCAAUACAUUCUUCCCGUAUGUUUUGGUGAAAGAUAAAAAAAAUAAACAUUUUGUGGAAACUUUUAUCCAAACGUCUUAAAAAAACAAUAAGACCAUUCAUUUUUACCACGGGUGGCCACAGUGGGAAUGGAACCCCUAAACCUUAUGGAAUAAAUGCCAUGAGCUACAGAGGACCACGAUAAAUUUUUAAUGGGGGAGUUCUAUAAGGGGUCAACAUAGGAUUUAUAACUUCCAGAAUGCCCUUGUUAAAAGCCUGCCAAACAUGUGGCCUUUAAGACCCCUUACCACUCCGACCAGAAAUUAAAAAUAUCCACCCCGGGCCAACGCUUUCAGGAGUCAAACUUCGGUUCCCUCUUUUUCUGGCCCAGAUCUGUUGCUCUUCCUCUCCCUUUAACCGGUAUAAAAACAGAACUGCAUAUGUCCUUCCCCUAAGGCUAGGCAAUCUAUACGGAGCGCAAAGGUCCAGAGAAGGGAUUCAAAAGCCAAAGUCUUAGUGCACACUAUUGGCCUAUACAUUUUUGAUGCCUAAUGACACUUUGUGCACCAGACCCAUUAUCUAUGCACAAACUCUUCCUUACAGCUUUGCUUACUUGUAGCAAGCAAGUAAACAAGCUAUUUAUCUUAGCUAAACUAACUACAGCCUCUUUUUUUCAUGAGUCGUUUAAUGUUGAUAUUGUGUGCCUAAACAAAUGCAGCGGCCAGUGGCACUUGCAGGUCAUUUACUUCUCAAGAUGCUGUCACAUUAUGCUAAAUUUGGGCUGACUAGCCGAAAAGCCCCUGCAUGACACUCUCCCCUGUUUACAGGCCAUUUACUGCUGAUAUCCAAUGUCGUGCGAAAACAGGCAGUUAUUUAUAGUUUCUUUAGUGCUUUUGUUGUCAACUCACAUCAUUAUGUAUGGAUUUGUUCCUUUCCCUCCAUUCAGUUCUCCUUACCAGCCUUCUUAACCUUCGGUCUAUUACCUUGCAUUAAAAAUAACUUUGCACAUUGCGGAACCCUACAUGGAUGAAGUUUUCAUUAAACACGAACAAAAACAUUGUUGUUUUCAUGUUCCACACAUUUGUGAUAGGCCAUCAUCCAAACUGCUAGCUUCGUCAGAUGGGAGGAAACUAUAGAGAUGCAUUGCCGCAUUUAAAAAGCUGCUAUUUCUGAAAAGUUCAUGCAGCCCAUGCAAUAGUACCACCACCAAUAAAUCGCAAAUGGAAGCAGAGUUGCUAAGCAGAAGCAGCGAGAGAUAGGGCUGCAAGGGCAUUUGGCUCCAUCUGACAGUGCCUUGUAAGGUUAAACGGCCCGGAGACAUUCAGGCAGACAGUCGGAUGGAAAGCCUGAUUGGGAGUUUGAAAUAAAAGCGCAUAAUCAGAUGCAAAAUAAAAAAUGCUAAAACUGACAGCAGCUAGCCAUAGUUUUGUGUUUGUGAUUUGCACUGAUGGAUGCACAUGCAUGCAGGGUCUUGUUUGCACAAAUGGGAUUGGGUGAUUUGAAUCCUCUGUCAGGAUUAAUGCCAGCCGUAGAUUUAAGAUUGUGACUGUCUGGGUUUUAGGGCUGUGACUAGCAGAAGUGAUUACUCAGUCAUCCCCAUUCUUGACGAAAUAUGACACGAGUUCAUUCAAUGUAUGUCAACGUCAAUCGAGCCACAUCAAAUAGGCUUGUCUUGUGUCAACAAUAAUAAAGAGCACAUUCUCCUAAGACUGUCAAAUGUGGCAACAAUUAAAAUGGAGAAUAUUGCCUCCUCAAGCUUGCCUGUGUAUCUUUAUUAACUCAUGGAGAGUGGCACUUAUGACGUGUCGUGAAAAUCAAGUUUUACGUAUGCUUUUCUACGGGUGUGAAACACAUUCUGAUUCCCUUAACAAUAAAACGAAG
ensembl:lncRNA